UACGUAGGGUGCGAGCGUUGUCCGGAAUUAUUGGGCGUAAAGGGCUCGUAGGCGGUCUGUCGCGUCGGGAGUGAAAACUCAGGGCUUAACCCUGAGCCUGCUUCCGAUACGGGCAAACUAGAGGUAUGCAGGGGAGAACGGAAUUCCUGGUGUAGCGGUGGAAUGCGCAGAUAUCAGGAGGAACACCGGUGGCGAAGGCGGUUCUCUGGGCAUUACCUGACGCUGAGGAGCGAAAGUGUGGGGAGCGAACAGG
rnacentral:rRNA from 1 species